UCAAAAUUCACAAUCUGGAUGAAUUUAACUAUCUGGAUAUCCAGUCCAUGAAAUUAGUGAUUUCACUAUGAGGAUGCUAUAUGUAUAUUGAAUAAAAUGGGAUUUACAUAAUUACUUUGAGGGAGCUCAGUAAUAGUUGAUAGUGAGUUUUUAAAGCCAUAAGAAGAUGAAAACUAUACUUCUGUGAGAAAAAAUCCGAGAAAUUAAAUUUCAACAAAUUGUGAAUAGUUUGAAUAGAUGAAGAUGAGAAAGCAGAGUUGAGGUAUGAAUAGAACCGAAAGCUUCAUGGAGGAUGUUGAUGUAGGUAGACACAAACAAUCGUUAAAGGAUUGAUACAUUUUACCUGCGAAGUUUGCAAGACAUUCUAUGGUACCUCUUCCUCUCCUAAUGGCAUUGCGAUUUUUUGGUUAAUUUGAGUUGGGUUCAAGCCACUAGUCUUGUUUGUUUUUAAAUAUAUUGUUUCCAUGAUUUUACAAUGGAAGAGCUGGAUAUUGGAAUAACUUUAAAACCAGUCCAAGAGGUAGGCAAUUUAUUAAAUAAGAACCAACACACCAUAGGUUUUUUAGAAGAUGUUGUGAAUCAAUUAUUGGAACCUUAACAAAUUGUAUGUACAAACUGCAAUAAAAAAAAAAACAAAUAACAGACAGAUUAUUUUAAAACAACAAUUUUUAAUUGAAACUGUGGUUUCAUAUUUUAAUCAAAUUAAUAAAAGCAAUUUUUAAAUAUCAGUAGGUACCUUUGGAAA